UAGCAUUCUUACUUUUUAGUAUAAUUCUAAGUUUAAACUUUUUAAUUAGUUACCUAUGUUUUAAACAGUGUAUGAACAACAUGAUAAUAAUAAUAUAACUUACCUACUUAUGGAUCUUAUAUUCUUAUCGAGAUUUUUAAUUAAAAAUUUGAGUGAAUUACAUUUACAACACAAGGUAUUAAAAUAUUUAAUGUGAUUCAUAGCUGUGGUCUGAAAUUGGUAUUUAUUUGUGGCAACACCUACCUAUGGGGUUAAGCAGUGAUUCAUAGUUAAAAGGGUUGCAACCCUUUUUACCAGCUGCAUUAAUUCAUUCUAAAUACUAAAAAGGGUGCAAAAAAUCAAAAUGGCUCCUAUACACUAAAAAGGGUGUUGGUAUAGCUGUGCUUGCAGGGCAUAUGUUAGCGAGUGCGCACCAUCAGACUGAAUCGCAUAUCAUUGGGGAGUACAGACUUACUGUGCGCAGUAAAGAAAAAAAAGGGUAAAUAGCCUUUUAUUUUUUAGCCAACCACAGUGCUUCAUGCAAAGGAGUCCAAAGGGUUCCUGUCGUCCGCUGUAGCCGUACAAUACCGAUAGUAACGCUACAGUUGUGUUUGUGUGUUCGACAAACGUACAUGUUGUGGUUUCAGUUAACUAUUUAAUUUUUUUUUAUUAUUUAAUAAAAUGUGUGUUUUCAAAUUAUUAGAAUUUUAUAGUGUUUAAUUCAUACAUAUAUUUUAUUUUUAUUUUUAUAAUAGCUAGCAAAAAGGAUUAAUUAAUAAGAAUAUGUAUAAAAGAAGAUGGACUGUAAUGGUCUCAAAUACAAUUGUUUUUCGUAAUAAGAAUAUACUAUACGAGUACGUUGCAGAGGACGGACAUUUUCUUGAUAUAUAUUGGGCAUGUUGCCUAUACAGUUCGCCGUCCAAUACACUUAUGAACGAGAUAAGGAGAAAACGGGUGCCGUUUAACGUUUCACUCGAGCAUUAUGUUGUUCUGCGCCAUAUAUAAUAACAUCCCUGCUGAGCUAACCACAGAGGAGGGGACCGGAGGAGGAGAAGUAUAGAAUUACCGUCUAUUAAAGAUAAUUGAAAUUUUCCCCUCCGCUACGACUGCUGCCUGCUACUAUACAUAGUAUACACGCGUAUAUUAUAUGGCUAAUGUUUGCUCCUGAAGUCGAAUCAAUCAUGUUGAUUUAUCUCCGAGCAAGUUGAACAGUCGAGUUUGCAUUCAACUCGAGUUAACCGUGUCUCCCGCCCGGAAUCAUUUCGAGAAUAACAAUGAAGACGGUUUUAAUUCUAGCAUUGUACAGCGAGCCGAAGCUUUUAUUAACGUCCAAAGCUCUACGGGCUUUUAAUAUAUAUAUGUACGUGUAUGUGUGGGAUGGAUGAAAAGCCGAGGCAGCGGUCCCGGAAACAGAGAUGGAAAGAUAUGACUCCAAAUAUCGUGUUUGAACUGUGGACAAACAAAAUAAAAUCAAAGAUUGAUUGUGAUUUAAUAUAUUAUGGUUUUUUGGAAACGCAAUACAUUACGAAUCACAUUGAGCUUUCUUGGAUAUUCCCAUCAAUACACGAGGAUGAUGAUAUGUUGAACUGCCUUCAGUCACUUGAACAUUGUUGAGAACCGUUUGUUUUCUGCGUAUUACUAUUGUUUGCAGUUCAGCUUUGAAGGCACAUUAGUUCUUAUCACGGACUUAUAUCAACUAUAAACCUCUAACUAUAACACUAAGUUAUGUGUAUAUGCUUUUACUAGUCUUAAUAAUAUACCUUCUGUUAUCUUAUAAUUAUUUUAAAAAAAUAUUGCUGAUUAGUGUUUCAGGUAUAAAACAGAAAGCGGCUACACAUACAGUCAGGAAAAAAAUGAUGUUAUGUUGAUAUAAGACUAAAAUUCAGACCUUUUGUUAUUACAAGCACCCAUAGUAUAGGAGAAUAAUAUGAUUAUUAAACAGUGUAUUGUAUAGUUUUGUGGAUAAACUCGAUAUAAUACGAAUCCAACUCAAUUAAUGUUGUAUAACAUAUAUUAUAGUUAAAACAAAAAACGAUAAUAAAAUAAUAAUACAUGUAUGAA